CUGUGACAGGAAAACAAAACUGAAACUAAAAAAGGAGGGUUUUUUUUUUCCUCCUAAGUACAGCCAAUCAAGAAGAGACUCUGCCUCUUGCUUAUAGUCUUAUAAAUACAACCCAGCUCUUUGGGUUUGAUAAUCCACUCUGGAUAUUGAUGGCUUUGUUUUAACAAAGUCCUCAAGUGCCUGACACGCAGCCUUAGCUUCAAGAUGGAGGUGACAUCUGGAAUGGUGUCAAUCGCUAUUCUUGUGUUUGGUAUGAUCGUAUCACUUAUUGCUUCCAAUACCCAAAAGUCCUCUAAGACAAAACAUGAAAACUACAGUAAAUCAGAAUGACUUGGGAUCCAAGGAACAAGUUAACUGACAUGACAUGAAGAUAAGAAACUCAGAAAUUACCAGGUUAUCUUUCCCGGAGGUCUGAAGAAGACUGUGCCCCGCUGGCUUCUACAACCCCUCUACCAUGGCUUCAUCCUGCGUUCCCCUUGAGUUCGCUCCAAUAAACAAUGCUGCCAUCCUGCCUCAAAUAGAUAGGAACUGGUGUGUAUAUUAACAAGAUCUUCAUCAGGCAGUUGGCAGCCAUGCGGUGUGGCAUCCAAGUGUGAAUCUUGGUGCUCACAUCCAUGUCUUUCCCUGCCUAUGAGCUUGGAGGCUGGAGGAGCAAACUUCUAUGCACCCCAUUUUCACUCUUUACAUCAUCCGCUCCCAUAAUAAACAUGGAUUGAACACCU